rnacentral:tRNA from 1 species
UCUAAUAUGGCAGAAUAGUGCAAUGAAUUUAAGAUUCAUAAAUAAAGAUUUAAUCUUUUAUUAGAA